rnacentral:pre_miRNA from 1 species
UGAGCUUCAUCUUCUGAGCAGAUUUAAUGCCCGACCCCUACACAGAAGGAUUUGUUGGAACAACACCAUGCUUGUAGGGUUGGGGGUUUAAAUUGCUCAAGAAGUUGAAGUUGG